rnacentral:rRNA from 1 species
UGAGCCAAGUUUAGGGUUUUCUCAAAACCCAAGCAGUAUUGAACUGAAGAGUUUGAUCAUGGCUCAGAUUGAACGCUGGCGGCAGGCCUAACACAUGCAAGUCGAGCGGAUGAAGGGAGCUUGCUCCUGGAUU